rnacentral:rRNA from 1 species
AGAGUUUGAUCCUGGCUCAGGAUGAACGCUGGCGGCAUGCUUAACACAUGCAAGUCGAGGGAUAACAGGAUGCUUGCACCUUUGACGACCGACGCACGGGUGCAUAACGCGUAUACAAUCUACCUUUUACUGAAACCUGCCCCGGGGAAACCCGGAUUAAUAUCAAAUAGGAUCAUUGGAUGGCAUCAUUUAAUGAUUAAAGCUUUGGCGGUUCAAAAUGACUAUGCGUUCUAUUGGCUCCAUGGCCCGGUAACGGCUUACCAUGGCUUUAACUUAUCGGGGUCCUGAUGGGGAGAUCCCCCGCACUGGUGCUGAGACACGGACCAAACUCCAACCGGAGGCAACUCCGAGGAAUAUUGGACAAGGGGAAAGAGCCUGAUCCAGCCAUGCCGCGUGCAGGAAACCUGCCCUAUGGGUUGUAAACUGCUUUUAUACAAAGAAGAAACACUCCCUCGUGAGGGUAUUUGACGGUACCGUACGAAUAAGGAUCUAACUAACUCCGUGCCAGCAGCCGCGGACAUACGGAGGAUCCAAGCGUUAUCCGGACUCAUUGGGUUUAAAGCGUCCGCAGGCUAUAUAAUAAGACAGUGGUGCAAUUCUGCCACCUAACGUUAGCACUGCCAAUGGUUCUGCUGGACUUGAGUAAAUAUGAGUGGAAUACAAAAUGUAGUGGAGCAGUGAAAUGAUUAUAUAUUACAUACAAUAGCGAUUGCCAACGCUCAUCACUGCAACUGACUGACGCUGAUGGAGGAUGGCGUAGCGUAGCGGACUAGAUAACAUGCCCUGCUACUCUACACCGUAUACGAUGUUUAUGAUGUGUUCGACUCGAUUGAGAGCUGAGUGGAUCAGCUAAAGUGAUGUAACCCACGGGGGAGUACGUUCGCUCGAAUGAAACUCAAAGGAAUUGACACAGGCAGCGCACAAGCGGUGGAGCAUGUGGUUUACUUCGAAUGAUACGCGAGGAACCUUGACCAGGGUCAGAAUGUAGUCUGACAGGUCUGGAAACAGACUUUUCUUCGGACAGAUUACAAGGUGGUUGCAUUGUUGUCGUCAGCUGAGGCCUUGAGGUGUCUGGUUAAGUCAUAUCACGAGCGCAACCCAUGUUCCUUCUUGCCAGCGAGUACUGUCGGGAAAUAUAGCAAGUGUCAAGCUGCAAGAAGGGAGGAAGGUGGUGAAGUCGUCAAAUCCUCACGGUCCUUGCGUCCUCGGCCACACCAAUGGUACAAUCGUAGGGCCAGCGAGCAGCCACCACGAGAUUGUGACAGUAUCUAUAUACCCUAUCACAGUUUGGAUCGGAGUUUGCAACUCGGAUCCGGGAAGCGGGAAUAGUUAGUAAUCGCAUAUCAGCCGUGAUGCGGUGAAUACGUUCCCGGCCCUCGUACACUCCGCCCGUCAGACCAUGGAACACGGGGGUACCUGAAGUCGGUCACCGCAAGGAGCCGCCUAGGGUAAAACCAGUAAUUGGGGCAAAGUCGUAACAAGGUAGCCGU